UACAGAGGGGGCAAGCGUUAAUCGGAAUUACUGGGCGUAAAGCGUGCGCAGGCGGUUUUGUAAGCCAGAUGUGAAAUCCCCGGGCUCAACCUGGGAAUGGCAUUUGGGACUGCAAGGCUUGAGUGCGGCAGAGGAGACUGGAAUUCCUGGUGUAGCAGUGAAAUGCGUAGAUAUCAGGAGGAAUACCGAUGGCGAAGGCAGGUCUCUGGGCUGACACUGACGCUCAUGCACGAAAGCGUGGGGAGCAAACAGG
rnacentral:rRNA from 1 species